rnacentral:rRNA from 1 species
UACGAAGGGGGCUAGCGUUGCUCGGAAUCACUGGGCGUAAAGCGCACGUAGGCGGACUCUUAAGUCGGGGGUGAAAUCCUGGAGCUCAACUCCAGAACUGCCUUCGAUACUGAGAGUCUUCGAGUCCGGGAGAGGUGAGUGGAACUCCGAGUGUAGAGGUGAAAUUCGUAGAUAUUCGGAAGAACACCAGUGGCGAAGGCGGCUCACUGGCCCGGUACUGACGCUGAGGUGCGAAAGCGUGGGGAGCAAACAGG